rnacentral:rRNA from 1 species
UANCACACGCAAGUCGAACGAUGACGAAGAGCUUGCUCUUUUGAUUAGUGGCGCACGGGUGAGUAUACCAUAGAUAAUGUACCCCUUAGUUCGGGAUAGCCACUGGAAACGGUGAUUAAUACCGGAUACUCCUUCUCAUUAUAAGAUGAGUCGGGAAAGUUUUUUCGCUAAGGGAUCAGUCUAUGUCCUAUCAGCUAGUUGGUGAGGUAAUGGCUCACCAAGGCUAUGACGGGUAUCUGGUUUGAGAGGAUGAUCAGACACACUGGAACUGAGACACGGUCCAGACUCCUACGGGAGGCAGCAGUGAGGAAUAUUGCACAAUGGAGGAAACUCCGAUGCAGCAACGCCGCGUGGAGGAUGACGCAUUUCGGUGUGUAAACUCCUUUUAUUAGGGAAGAUAAUGACGGUACCUAAUGAAUAAGCACCGGCUAACUCCGUGCCAGCAGCCGCGGUAAUACGGAGGGUGCAAGCGUUACUCGGAAUCACUGGGCGUAAAGGGUGCGUAGGCUGGCUUCUAAGUCAGAUGUGAAAUCCAAUGGCUCAACCAUUGAACUGCAUUUGAAACUGGGAGCCUAGAGUUCAGAAGGGGCAGAUGGAAUUAGUGGUGUAGGGGUAAAAUCNCGUAGAUAUCACUAGGAAUAUCAAAAGCGAAGGCGAUCUGCUGGGAUGAUACUGACGCUGAGGCACGAAAGCGUGGGGAGCAAACAGGAUUAGAUACCCCUGGUAGUCCACGCCCCUAAACGAUGAAUGCUAGUCGUCGGGA